rnacentral:lncRNA from 1 species
GAACUGCCAACACCCAAUACUGGAUGAAGGGUUGAAGACUGAAAAAAUUAUCUUUCACUUGGAAAUGAAAGAAGAUGAUGCCGCCUUAAGGUCUCAACAUAAAUACAUACCCAUUACUCAAUAUAUAUUCAUAGUAAAAUGAUUAUGAACAAUGUGCUAUAUGUAGAAAAAGCAAUUGUCGGAAAGGUAGGAAAACUACAAUGGUGCAGUUCAGGACAUUAAUUAACAGUUAACAGCAUGCCAUCAGAAGCCUUGAGGAGGGAAUGGAAUAUAGAAGCUGACCACCACCUAUCUCAUACGUUUUGCUGUCAAUGUCUAUGCCAAUUAAUUAUUCGUGAAGCACCAGCUGCUGCUUUUGCACCCUCAGCCACCCACCUGUCAAGUAAUACUUGGAUAAUUAUCAUCAUAAUUAAGAGUCUUAUGAUAGAUAUCACAAAUUCGAGAAAUAUAUAUAUAUAUAUAUAUAUAUAUAUAUAUAUAUAUAUAUAUAUAUAUAUAUNNNNNNNNNNNNNNNNNNNNNNNNNNNNNNNNNNNNNNNNNNNNNNNNNNNNNNNNNNNNNNNNNNNNNNNNNNNNNNNNNNNNNNNNNNNNNNNNNNNNUCCAAGACUAAAAAUAGCAACGAUGGAACCUGGUUCUACUUUGGCAGUGUUCCAAACCGCCCCAAGACCUAAAGUGACAAUAAAUGUUUACCAGAAUUUAUACGGUGCAAACAAAUACUAAUUAAUAUUUUUUACAAAUAUCAUCCUGCAUUUUCUACUGUACUGAAUAUAUUAGAAAAGCUAUUUAAUAUUCAUCCAGAACACCUAGAUAUCAUAAGCUCCACGCAAUCUUCAAGUUAUAAAAUUGCAAUUCACAAGCAAUACACUGAUUUUAAAAUUUUCACUAAAAAACUUGUAGAAACAAAACUGAAACACGUAUAAAUUUCAAAGGAGAUCACAUAAUAUAUAUAAAUCUAAUAAAAGAAGUAUAAAAAGAUACCAAAGUGUAAGACCCUAAAUGUCAUAAAUUAAAGACCGUAUCUAGUGCACAAGACUCUGGAAAUUAAAUUAAUAGCAGGAUAUACAACCUUAAUUCUAUUUACAGAGAGAUUGUUUCCAGAACUUGAACCAUGACUAAGCAUUCAAUAAUUGAACACUUAACCAUUGAGCCAGCCAAGCACGACCUUCAAUGUCAUAGGGGAGAAAAACAAAUCAGCUUACCAGUUGUUGGGACACCACAACCAAAGAAGGCACACUUUAUCCAAAGGAGCUUUUGGAUCAAUCUUCGCUACACUAACAUUUACAUCAUGGACAACAGUGUACUGACUAAAUGUUGAAGUUCCCAUCAAAUGAAAAACGACUCUUGCGCUCACUCAACAUGACUCCAACUCCAGUAGCUGCCCUAACUUUUCCACAGAGGUUGGUUUUCCCUGUGUUAACGCCAAGAUCUUCUGUCACGUCAACACGAUAAACACCAAAAGCUUGACGGCUUCGACCGUCGGGGGAUAGCUCAGGCGUGAGAGUCAGUAUCGGUGUUCACAAGGUUAACAAUGGAGGAUAAUAAUCUCUAGCGUAUUGAGAGAUAAAAUUAUCAGUUGGAAUGUGUUUGUACGUACCUCUUGCUUGAAGACUUCCUUGCUAGGUUAUACUACAUGACCCGGUUUACCGUGCCACUGACCCUCCUGACACUACCUACUGCAGGUAGCUUUUCUGUUAAUCUCAUCCCCUUUAUCCACCGCUGGUUGACUGUCCAAUCCUCAUUAAUGCGAUGCAGGAUAUCAAUCAGCCAUCACUAGUCAAAGUUUAAAUUGUCUAAUGGAUUGGUUCAAUAAUUCGGCCCAAGACUUUGUAAGACCCAAUCAAGAUAAUCCAAUGAAUUAGUCUAAUAUCAAGGCCCAAUAAUAAUGACCCAAGAGAAUAACCAAAUAAGUAGGCCCAAUCUAUUAGGCCCAGUAGGUGAAAUAUCAUGGCCCAACAUUGCCCCCCAAUCUUUUAUUAAAUAGGAUGUUUGAUGAAAGAGUAUAAAUGGCAUCGGUCCAGGGCAAAAGGAUUUAUAAUAAGAUCGAUAAAGGCCCAAAAUAUAGCUUACCUAAGCUCAUCUGAUGAACAUCAAAUAGCAACACAAAUGGUUCAUCUUUGCCGACCUCUACAAAAGUACCGACUGAAUCGCCUUUAACUACCGAAGCUCAAGCCAUAGAAUGAAAUACCGGUUCGGUAAUAGCGAGCGUCCGUGAUACCGAUGAUCAUCAGUUCGGACAUAGUUCCAUCAUGGACAUCGCUGCCCAUCAAUUCGAACUGAUUGACUAAUAAUGGUCAUUUGCAAGCAAACGCUAUCUUCGGGUGCCUCCAUCCCAAAUACAAAGAAGUCGAAGAGGAUGCCGAAGAGGGUACCGAAGAGAAUACCGCCCGAAGGGAUAACGCCAUUCUGAAGUCUGCGUUGGCGAAAGAAAGAAUCAAUCUUGACAUUGUUCUCUUCAACAAUGAAUGAAGGAUAUCGACAAGGUCAAAGAAGAACUAAAAACGACCAAGGCCACUCAUCGGGUCAUCACAAUGACGAAGAAGAAUGAAGAUCUGACCGAGUCCAAUCAGAGCUUGGCGAAGCAAAAUAACAAUAUCCAUGCUAAAGAAGCAAGAUAUCUAGCACAUCGUCAAAAGCUUGAAGAAGAGCUCAAAGAGCUUCGGGCCCUUAGGAACUUGGGUCCGCUACUGACCGAAGACCUUCUAAGGAAAUCCAGGCAGCAUACAGAAAAUCCGCCGAACUGAACGAUGAGAUCGUCCAUAUGUAUGCCGAAGGAUAUGAAAUCUGCCGAAGUAAAGGCAAGAAAAAGCUCGGGCCAAGGUAGAUCCAUCUCUUCUAGACUCUUCAGAUGGUGAUGAUGACGAUGAAUAAGCCCGAAGAUGACCUCCCCUAUACCUUUAACUGUAGAACUUUCUGUAAAAAUUCUAAACUCUUGUGAACAGUUAAUAUUAAUGAAAUAUCAACUUCAUGAUUUAUUACUUCUGGGUGAUCAUUUCUUGUCAAUAAUUCAGUGUCAAUCAACUUGAAAACUGUACAAGUGCCUCUUAACUUAAACUGUUAGUCAAUAAUCAAGUAAAUUAUAUAACAGUUAAGAACAAUAAUGAGAUAAUCCGAACUCAACACUUGAACAAAAUAAAGUAAUGCAUACUUAUCGUUACCGAAGUGUGUGACAGGUCAUGUGUGAGGUGAAUUCAGCUGAUUCUCCUUGCACCAUCAAGAUCUUGUUUUCCACUUGGGGUAGAACAAGUAUAUAAGGACAUUUGUUUACCAUGCGGGGUAAAACAAAGAAAUAAGGACCAUGGAAUUUGCUUACCACUCGCGGUAAGACAAAUUCAUAAGGACACUCCUGACAAAAAGGCUGCCAUCGAAUGGCCAGCGAGUCCGACCAUACCUCCUUACUUCGGUGCCUUUUGUUUACUACUCGUGGUAAAAGCAAUAUUAAAAGGACCAUGGAAUUUGUCUACCACGCAAGAUAUAACAAACCCAAAAGGACACUCCUGCCGAAAAUGCUGCCAUCGAAUGGCCAGCGAGUCCACCCCGUCCUCUUUACACCGAUGAAGUUUGCCUACCCCGAAGGGCAUGACAAAUUCAUAAGGACCACCUGCCAAAAAGGCUGCCAUCGAAUGGCCAGCGAGUCCCCCCCCCGUCCUCUUUACACCAAUGAUUUGUAGAUGAGCUACCGAAGUCUUUCUGUGCUGAAUGCCUUCGUGAAAUAGUGGCCAGUUCGGAUAAUGCAUCGGCAAUGGAGUUAUCACUGCGAUCGACCCCAUAAUAACUUGCUGCACUGAUGUCCGAAGUAUAAUAUCUGUCUGCACACAGUGUCCAUGAACUCUGCUUCUGCCGGAGUACUGCAACGGCUAUGUCGGACUCCUCAGCCGCUUUCCAUCUGAAUCUGCAGCUUUAGAUGGAUUUCCCCAAAGACAAGUACCCACAGGGCGGUGUGCCCUUAGUGGACUCUCGGGAGUGUGAUUUUUGGAUCCACUUCGGUGGAGAUUUUUGUCACUGUGGUGAGAAUACUCGAGGCAAAUUGCCUUAUUUGUAUUCUAAGGUGCAUACUCUCUGGAUCAGCUUCUUCGUCUGCUUCGACCAUAAUCUCGAGAACCGAUAGGGUAGAGGUACCCUCUUCGGAUGCUCAGGAGUAUGGUUCCUUGGUCUUCUUCGGUCAUGAGGAUCACCUUGAGACAUGUCUUCAAAGUGUAUAGACUGCUUUACUACGUCUUUCAGACUGGAUAUAAUUGGAUGCCUCGUCCUUCAGCUUUGCCAUCCGAAGCAUCUGCUCCAGCUUUGCCAUCUGAAGGAUCUGCACCAGCUCUGCCAUCCGAAGGACCUGCUCCCGCUAUGCCAUCCGAAGGACCUGCUCCCGCUCUGCCAUCCGAAGGACCUGCACAUAAUUGGACGCUUCGUCCUUCAGCUCGGCAAUCUGAAGCACAUGUUCAGCUAUAUCCUCGCUCUGCUUCAAGAGAACCUCCAAAGCUUUAACUGCUUCGUCCGCCAUCUUCGCCAGCUUGGCAGCCUUGUCGUCCUGAUCACUUCGGUGCCGAGUUCUAGGUGGGGUGUCUUCUACUCGCCUUCGGCCAUGAUCACGUUCCUUGUCAGCAGCAAAGACCAACCUCCUUCGGGCUUCACCACGGGCUCUCGAACGAGAACCCCCUGAAUCACGCUUGGAAGCCGUACUCUCAAGAGCACUUUUGAAAGGACCCAGACGAUCCUUAACUGAAACACGAGGCAAGGAUGAACUUACAGCCAUCGGUUGUCCCUCCGGUGUACUAGUUCUACUCUUCACCAUUUUUUCCGACGUAGAACAAAUGAAACUUUGUGAUUGAAAACUCAAGGACACUAUAACACAACCCUCCUUCUAGCGCCAAUGUUAACGCCAAGAUCUUCUGCCACGUCCCAAUCACGUAAGACGUCCUCAUCCUGCACAGUAAACAUGAUAAACACCAAAAGCUUGACGGCUUCGAACGUCGGGGGAUAGCUCAGGCGUGAGAGUCAGUAUCGGUGUUCACAAGGUUAACAAUGGAGGAUAAUAAUCUCUAGUGUAUUGAGAGAUAAAAUUAUCAGUUGGAAUGUGUUUGUACGUACCUCUUGCUUGAAGACUUCCUUGCUAGGUUAUACUACAUGACUCGGUUUACCGUGCCACUGACCCUCCUGACACUAUCUACUGCAGGUAGUUUUCCUGUUAAUCCCAUCCCCUUUAUCCACCGCUGGCCGACUGUCCAAUCCUCAUUAAUGCGAUGGAGGAUAUCAGUCAGCCAUCACCAGUCAAAGAUGUAGAUAUUUAAAUUGUCUAAUGGAUUGGUUCAAUAAUUCGGCCCAAGACUUUGUAAGACCCAAUCAAGAUAAUCCAAUGAAUUAGUCUAAUAUCAAGGCCCAAUAAUAAUGACACAAGAGAAUAACCAAAUAAGUAGAUCCAAUCCAUUAGGCCCAAUAGGUAAAAUAUCAUGGCCCAACACCCUGCAUUCUGCUUGGUAACAAGGUAUAUAUAACAUGGUCUCCAGGCUGAACUUCAGUCACUCCUCCACCAACACUUUCGACUAUUCUGCAUUUUUAAUAAGAAAUAUAAAAUCUCAACCAACAGUCACCUUAAUUCAUCAGCAAUGACUCCACACAAAUUUCAAGUACGUGAUUACAUACCCGGCAGGGAAAAAGACCCUCAGGAUUCUAUCAGAAAAUUAAGUACGAGCUUGAUCGAAUACUAAAACAUAGAGCGGUUAAGAUAUGGAAACUGCAAAAAUGAUUAAAGUGGAAAAGAGAAAGGGCCGAUCACAUAAAUCAUCCAUAUAAAUGCUAAAAGAACAUGCACAUUGAGGAGAUAUAUAAUAGAAUGGGAAAUGCCACAGUUCAGAAGAGCACAAUCCACUUGGUACCCACGAGUUAAACAACAAAAUUCCAGAUCAAUAUUUUCGAAAUACUCAGAAACUAGCAUCAGCUUAUUCAAUCCCCUAAAGAGUUUCAGUUAUUUCAUACGCCUAAAUUUAGCAAAUAUUAAAAUAUUUAUAAAAAAAAAAACCAUUUGAGCUAAAUAACCUAAACUAACACAAUUAAGUCUAGAAAUCAAAGAUUGUUAUAAAUCCGACCCAAUUUACAUGUAUAAUUAGCACACCAAUGUUCAUAUAUUCAUUAUUCACAGAUUCACAUAUUCAUUAGCACACCAAUGUUCAUAUUCACCGGCUUCAGCUUGAGUAGGAUUCACCUGUACGUCUUCGAUCACCAACGGUUUGUUUGGUUCAUAAGCAACCUCAGCUUUUUCGCCAUUAAUUUCAUCAAAACAUAUCACAAUCAAAUCCAACUUAAUUACAGAGGUUAGAGAAAGAGAUAUAAUUAAUAUAGUACCUUUGCAGGUGAUAACUUGACCUUGGGUAGCCAUGGAUUUGAUGUGAGAACCGCAAAAUGUAGACCGACAGAUGGAGAAGAAGUGGGAUUUUUUUAAUUUUGUAGAGAAACAACCAAAUCAAACUGUUUAUUAAUUAUAUAU